rnacentral:rRNA from 1 species
GUAAAUACAAUUUAUGAAAGCAAAAAAUUAUGGCGGUACUUUAAGCUUUUCAGAGGAAUUUGCUCUGUAAUGGAUAAAACACCUAAAUCUUACUAAAAUUUGUUAAAUCAGUUUGUAUACCACUAUUAAAGUAGUAUUUCAUAACUAUUACUUAAAUUUUUUAAAAAAAUAAAUUAAGUCAAGGUGCAGCAAAAGUUUUAGGAUGAAGUGAAUUACAAUUCUUUUUAGUUUUUAAAAUUUUUUUAAAAAAAUUUUAAAAUAGGAUUUGAAAGUAAAAAAUCAAUAGUAUGGCUUUUUGAAUAAAGU